ensembl:lncRNA
GGGCGUGUCACGAUACCUGUCAAUCAAAAUUGAAUGGAAGCUUACGCUACUCCGCUUGGGCUGAAUACAUUUAGCCCAUUCACAGGAAAAAACCGAAGAUAUGUCAAAGGCCUAUAUCCUGGGUUUUUCUGUCACUUUUGGUGCUGUUGCUGCUUUAGGUUCUACCAAAAUUUAAAACAUAUUAUUUUUUCAUUUUUACUGUAAAAGGUAGGGAGGGCUUAGCCCUGUUAGCCCAUUUAUACCAGCCGUCCCUGCAUCCGAGACCCUUGAAGAGAAGAGGUGCGGUUAGGGAGACAUUCUUGGCUCUGGUUCGGAUUAAAUUGAGUUGCAAAACUCGACGUGUGGUUCUCUGCUGCAGGACCGAUUGGAUUUAGUUUGCAGUUUAUUCUGCCAGACGGGUUUCCUCCACAUUAUCGCAAGGUCUUUGGGAGGCGGAGUCUGUGGUAAUUGUGUUGCCUACACUGCAAAAACUGAUCUACAGUUUGUAUCUACGACCGAGUGACUAAUCCGGCCAGAAGAUGAUGAUGAACCCCGUCCUCGCAUCAGGUAGGUCUAUGUGAGACAAUUCAUCUUUAGCAGAAGCGAUGCCCCGACCGGUUGCCACUCGUGAUUAACAACCCUUUGGUCGAAUUACAUCCGAGAGACCGAGACCCUUGAGGAAAAGAGGUGCGGUUAGGCAGACAUUCUUGGCUCUGGUUCGGAUUAAAUUGAGUUGCAAAACUCGACGUGUGGUUCUCUGCUGCAGGACCAAUUGGAUUUAGUGGGCAGUUGAUUCUGCCACGCCUUUCAGAACCGCAGAAUGAGUUUAAACUGAAUAAACCUCAGUCUGCUGGCCAGGAUCGGCAGCUUGGUGGGGGAGGUGGACGUAGGAAUGAGAAAUAGCCUGGGGCACUUCAGCUGGGCCAUGUCUUUACAUGAUAGGGAAUUAUCUUUGAAUUGAAGGCAUGAAACUCCUAUGCUUCUAUAUAUGCAGGCGAUUUGGUUAGAACACUUCCAUGGUUAGCACACCAAACUAGAGUGAAGAGGAAGUUCUACAUAAUUACUACCUGAUGGGUUUGGGGUUGUGGGCUCUUGGGGAGGAACUGAUGCAAAAUGGUGCAAAGGUUUUUGGAUUGCGGUCGACCAGUGACUAGUGAAAUAACGGAAAGCGGUGGAGGUGGAUGUAGUACCGCAUGCCGCCACUAGGCGCCACCCUUUUACCUCUUGAUAUGAUAAGAUAAGGUAACACUUUUUAAUGCUGUUGAGGUACAGCACAGCAGCAGUGAAAUAAGAGAUACAAGAAGUCAUACAAUAAAAGUACAAAGUGAUAAAGUAAACUAAAAUAAAUGCUUAAGUAAAGACAAACAGUAUAAACAGCUAUGAAGUGGCCCAGUCCUAGCAUAAUUCACAGUAUAUUUAAGUGUGUAAAUAUAACAAAAAGUGUCCCCGUGAUCAAAUAUCGGUGUGUGUGUGUCUAUAUAUAUGUAUAUAUAUAUAUAUAUGUAUUUAUGUGUGUAUGAUUAGGAUUCAUUCAGUAUAAUACCGUUAGGAGUCAGUAACGGUAAUAUAUAUGUAUUUUUAAAACACAUUUUAAAAAUCACUUGCUGUUAUGUCUUUAUGAAGCACGGGUAAUUAACCGUCAAAUAAUUAAUAAAUAUUAAAACGAUAAAGCCUAACAUACAUACAGAUAUCGGGCUGUGUACUGUUUGUCGCACAGGACUUGGUAUCUGUGGGUUCUCUGCGUGUCUGGCCUUGAUUCAGGUAUUUGCCGGAGGUGUUGAUUUACCGUUCUAUCUUUACGUUGCAG